rnacentral:rRNA from 1 species
UACGAAGGGGGCUAGCGUUGCUCGGAAUCACUGGGCGUAAAGGGUGCGUAGGCGGGUCUUUAAGUCAGGGGUGAAAUCCUGGAGCUCAACUCCAGAACUGCCUUUGAUACUGAGGAUCUUGAGUACGGGAGAGGUGAGUGGAACUGCGAGUGUAGAGGUGAAAUUCGUAGAUAUUCGCAAGAACAUCAGUGGCGAAGGCGGCCUGCUGGGCUGUUGCUGACGCUGAGGCGCGACAGCGUGGGGAGCAAACAGG